rnacentral:rRNA from 1 species
UACGAAGGGGGCGAGCGUUGUUCGGAAUUACUGGGCGUAAAGGGCGCGCAGGCGGCCUUAGAAGUCAGAUGUGAAAGCCCCGGGCUCAACUUGGGAAUGGCAUUUGAUACUCUGAGGCUGGAGUACGGGAGAGGAGAGUGGAAUUCCCAGUGUAGAGGUGAAAUUCGUAGAUAUUGGGAAGAACACCGGUGGCGAAGGCGGCUCUCUGGACCGUAACUGACGCUGAGGCGCGAAAGCGUGGGGAGCAAACAGG